GUUUGAAGUUUACGUUUGGCGUAUAAAUUUCAUGCUUUAACGACUAUACAAGCCCUCAUAGCAGUUCAAGUAUGAAAUUUAUGCGCCAAACGUAAACUUCAAAC